GUGAAGAAACUGCACUUCGAGGUUGUCUGU
rnacentral:piRNA from 1 species